GUGAAUGAGGUGGAUCUUUUCCCGGGCUCCUCAGCUUUGUCCCAAGCUCUUAAAGGUGCCAGGCCACAUUGUUCUACAAUGGCACCAUCAAACUCUAAAUGUCUACUGUGUAGGUCAGAAUACCGCCCUUCACCAAGCACUUGAUCUUUAACAAUAUUCAGUCCCCAUUCUCUACUUCAUUGUUCAAUAUUCCAGGCCUCCUCUCUUUACCAUGUUAACCAUUGUACCUGCUGACCAGCCUCCAGCACAGCACCAAUCCCCUUGGUUACUUAAUCUUUCUUUUACAUAAAGGGAAUGGGUUCCAUAGGAAACAGAGACUUUAAAAUGCCUCAGAGCUAUCAUGUCUGUAGGAUACCAUGUUAUCGGAUAAUCAUGGCCGACACCAUUAGCAAGCGUGUGCUUUGCAGUCACUGGGAACACUUGAUGGCAAUUUUGUAAUCCUCUGACCACACAGUUGGUUUAAGAUUAACCCUUUCUCUCCUUACGGCUGUCCCAGCUUUUCCUGCAUGCACCCCCAUUCCCCACCCCCUGGCUGUGGAGACUUGAAAGCAAAAGGGGGCAGUACUGGGUGUGAUUGCCUUCAAGCCCUCAUUCAUUCUGCUGGAAGCUCCUGCUCUCAGUCACUGCUUUGAGCCCUUUUGUUCUCCCUUUUCAGGCACUUUCCAAGAGCUUCCACCACAGCCAAUUCUGCAACCCUUUUCAAAAACAAAUAGAGGGACCCUGAUUUUCCCAUUUCAUCCAUUUUUUUGUUUCUCCAGCUCCUCUAUCUACUUACAGCCUCUCUAGUUGCCCAGCUAUUCAUCCAACUUGUUUUUGAGACAGAAUAUAGGGACAGCAACAAGAAGAAAUAGAAAAUUCCCUCUGGAAACAAAGCAGCAGCCACAAUGAACUUCUUGAUGUCCUGAAACUCACUGUCCAUUCCUCCAUACCCUCCUGACUCCUCCCUCCCUCCCUCUACAGCAUUAGAAACCAAGUUUCCCAUUCUGCCUAGCUCCUUGUCUGGGCACCACUUGUAGGCAGACUUUUUGGCCACUUUAUACAUGCAUGUGCAUAUCUGUGUGCGAAUUUGUAUGUGUGUGUGUCCAUGUGUAAACAGGACCUCAGCUCAAUGAAGCACCACGAAGCAAAAGUAGCUUCUGUAAAACUGAUCAGAAAUCUUCUAUAGCAUCUUGGAUUGUAUAGAUAUAUUAAAGGUUAGUUUCAAGUUACCAUUUACUGUCAACUUCAAACUGAAUGGUUACAAGGGGGAGCUAAAAACCUGUGUACACCCAUUUACUCCUAUUUUUUCUGUGAGACGAGGUGCAGGCCUGGAAGUGUAAAUUCCGUGUUAUGUAUAUCCUGCCUAAAUCCCAUACUCUCUAUUUAGAAGUGAUGUACCAGCCUCUUUGCUGCCAGGAUUAGAUAUUAAAACCGUGAGUCUACUGACCCUUCUUCCUGAGAUCUGGCUGUUUUCCUUUGGGCUCUGAGAUGAGCCUAGGUUGGAAAGUGGUGACUUAGAUGUGUUUUAUAGAGACCCUGUGUCCAAACUGUGGCUUUUAGGAUGACAACUGUUUAACCAGUGUUCAGGCAGCAAGGCUCUUACAGGAAAGGUCUUCUGACUAAUCUUGGCCUUGAUAUGAGCUCACUAUGCUCUCGCAGGACUUCUGCAUUUCUCCAUUUCCCUCUGUUAGGUGACUGUUUGGGAACCUCGGGCCUGUAGGGUUUAGAGAAAAAUACGUUUGUUUAGGUGGUGUCCGAGGUUUUAACCUUGUCUACAAGAAAAUGCUUCCCGUACUCCAGUCCUAACCUUUCAGUACCUUCUGAGGGUCCCCACAGCCUUUCUGAGAGUAUCGCAGUGGGACUUGGCCCUUUUCACGGUGAAAAUUGCUUAUGGCAACAUAUUUCCAAAUUUUUGUUCCUGCAAAGAGUAACUAGUAUUUAUUUUCUAUUUAUUUUAUCAGUUUCUAGUGUUCAUUUAACUCAGUAAGGUCUGGGAAAAACUAAGAUCUGAACACAACAGCCUUCUCGGUAGCUUAAAAACACUUGGAGAAUUGUAGGUGAAGAAGUCUUCUUACCAGUGUCACAAAAGCUUGGUCCAAUGGGCUUCUGUAAUUAGAUUAUGUUUGUUUUAGAGAAGGAGACAAAUUUAUGGAAAACAUAGCUUAUGCAACAGCCAGCUAGCAAUGAAAUUGAGUGGAGUAGAGAUUUCUCCCUCAGCCUGCCUUCUGCUCCUUCUCCGUGUUCCUCAUAGCUCAGCCACUUUUGUCAUAAAUAAGAAAAAUGGAAAGUUCCCUAUAGCAGUUGUUUGCAGAGUUAAUAGAGUUGUAAGAGAAACGCUACCGUAGGAGGGGAAUACCAUGGUCAAUUAAAGUUGAGGAAUGCUAAGUUACUUCCUUUCCAUGGGGUGUCUGAGUUUUAUUAUGCCGUGACACAUUUUGAUCUUAGGAAGGGACAGACUGUUGCACCUAAUAUUGUUCUCCUAUCCCUCCCCCCCUUUCUCUGAGCAUCUCUACCAGUCUUUGGUCAAGUUUACAGGUCUUUGAGAAGACGAUUGCCAGCGAAAACGCUGGCAGUGAGUUUGUUACGGUGGUGCAGUGGCUUUGGUACCAAGCCCUGGCAGUGGUGUGAUACCAGGAAAACUGCACAUCAGCUGCCCAGAGAGUCGUGUCUGUGUCUGAUCUGCACGCUACCCCAGAGUCUGUAGAUGCAAAUGUAUUGGUGAUGUUGACACUGCAUGGUAGCACUGCUUUGUACGGCACUUUAUCUUCCUUUAGGUACCUUUGGGGACAGCCCUGUGAGCCAGACAGUAUUAUAGCGACUGCACAGAGGACGCACGUCCUAGAAGCCCUGAAAAGCUUGUCUCGAUUCCUUCUCUUUCCCCUUCUUCUGCCCUCCUCCCUCCAGAGUUUACAUCUUAAAAGGAUAGAGCCAGAAUUUGGCUACGAGUCUCUGACUCCAAGUCCAAAGGUCUUCAUACUGGUCUUUCCUUCCAGCUUUAUGUAUACAACGAAGGAUAUGGAAACCUCUCCACACUGUUUUUGCUUAUUGUGCAAACCAGCUCUGUGUUGGAGUGACCCAGAAGUGUGACUCUUAUUACUCUGUCCCUGCAGUGCCCCUUGUUCAGGUGCUUGACUGUGCUCCAGCUACUGUUUGAUUGUAAAGCUAAGAUAGAACAUACCAUUGUAAUCAUUUAACCCGGAAAAUAGAUCACCUCAGCAUUCUCAGGUGAAGAAGUGAGAUGGUUUGAAAGGAAACUAAUGUUCAGAUGCAACAAUAAAUAUUUAUUACACACAUGCCAUUUCUUAGCUUUAAUUUGCUUUCACAACUUACUGAUGUAACAUCUUUGUAAAAUGUAAAAUAUUUAUAUUUUGAAAUAAAGUUACAAAUGUUGGAUGAAACAGGUGGUAACUUAGUCUCUUCUUGAGAAAUUUGAACCUUAUCCAGACUUUCCAUGCAUAUCCUACCUUUGGUGCCAAUAUCUGAACUGGCACCAGUAUUUUUAUGAAAUUUGGUCAUCUUACAUGAGGGAAGCUGUCUGAAGAGUUUACACCCUGAAGAGGCCAGAGGGUCUGUAGCUGAGGCAGAAGUCCUCAGUGGGUUGGGAGGCAGCCUUGUGGAUAAAAGUGUGAGGGAGGUUUAAGGUAAAUGUUGGGAGACAGGGGGCCUGGAGAAAUGGCUUUGCAGUUCAGGGUGCAUACCCAAGUUCAAUACCUAACACCUAUCUUGGAUGGCUGGUAACCCCCUAACUUGGCUUUAGGGGAAUCUGAUACCUCUGCUGAAUUCAGGAGCUGCUCUUUUGUAAGAACAGCCUAAGCUUUGCCAUCUCUGUUACCAGAGAGAGCCGUGUUGCAUUGCCAGGGGAAGCUGAGUCACGCUGCAAGCUGAACCCAGAGAAAGCCAAUCUGGGAUUCCUUUUUGCCCCAUACAUGCUCAUAGCAGCUAUGGUCCUUCAAAAAUGCUUUCUUGCACUGGUUAGUCAGUUGCUUGAAUCCUUAGGUCAGUCUAGAACCCUUCCUAAGAUGCAGGCUUCUGAAAGGCCUUCCUUGGCUUUGUUCCUGGAAACUGUAGGAAAAGGAGCUUUGGCACCACAGGGAUUCUGUGUGAGCUCAUGGUUGGACCAAGAGAAUGGAUUCUUAGCCUUAAG
rnacentral:lncRNA from 1 species